rnacentral:rRNA from 1 species
CCUACGUGCGGCAGCAGUGAGGCAUAUUGGUCAAUGGUCGGGAGACUGAACCAGCCAAGCCGCGUGAGGGAGGCAGGUACUGAGUAUCGUAAACCUCUUUUGUCAGGGAACAAGGGCUGGGACGCGUCCCCGUAUGGGUGUACCUGAAGGAAAAACAUCGGCUAACUCCUUUCCCGCAGCCGCGGUAAUCCGGAGGAUGCGAGCUUUAUCCGGAUUUAUUGGGUUUAUAGGGUGCGUAGGCGGUCUUUUAAGUCAGCGGUAACAGUUCGGGGCUCAACCCCGACCCGCCGUUGAAACUGGGAGCCUUGAGUGGGCGAGAAGAAGGCGGAAUGCGUGGUGUAGCGGUGAAAUGCAUAGAUAUCACGCAGAACCCCGAUUGCGAAGGCAGCCUUCCGGCGCCCUACUGACGCUGAGGCACGAAAGCGCGGGGAUCGAACAGGAUUAGAUACCCGGGUAGUC